AGCAGCCGCGGUAAUUCCAGCUCCAAUAGCGUAUAUUAAAGUUGUUGCAGUUAAAAAGCUCGUAGUUGAAUUUCGGGAUCAAUACGUCGGUCGUGCUUCGGUACGUACUGGCGUAAUUGAUUUCUCCCUUCUGACGAACCAUGAUGUCAUUAACUUGGUGUCAUGGGAAAUCAGGACUGUUACUUUGAAAAAAUUAAGAGUGUUUAAAGCAGGCUCACGCUUGAAUACAUUAGCAUGGAAUAAUGAAAUAGGACGUUCGAUCCUAUUUUGUUGGUUUUUAGGAUCAACGUAAUGAUUAAUAGGGAUAGUUGGGGGCAUUAGUAUUCAAUUGUCAGAGGUGAAAUUCUUGGAUUUAUUGAAGACUAACUACUGCGAAAGCAUUUGCCAAGGAUGUUUUCAUUAAUCAAGAACGAAAGUUAGGGGAUCGAAGACGAUCAGAUACCGUCGUAGUCUUAACCAUAAACUAUGCCGACUAGGGAUCGGAUGAUGUUGAUUUUUUAAUUGACUCAUUCGGCGCCUU
rnacentral:rRNA from 1 species